ensembl:rRNA 5S_rRNA 5S ribosomal RNA
GUCUACAGCCAUACCACCCUGAACACGCCCAAUCUCAUCUGAUCUCAGAAGCUAAGAAGGGUCAGGCCUGGUUAGUACUUGGAUGGGAGUAUGAUGUUAGCUGUGGGCU